UCUUUCACCACCUGGAAGCAACACCCACCUAGUGAAACAAUUGAGACAGAGGAUCAAAGAAUUAGAACGUUAUAGUGAAGGCACCAAAGACAAAGAUCUACCCAAGAGGUAUAAUCACUGCUCAACCUUUUUCUCUCAAGUACUUUUAUUGAAACAGAAAUUCACUCAAAAGAAUAAAUCUCAAGCCUUUAAAAAAAAGUUUGUCAGUGUCACAGUAGUCUAGACCCAACUGCAUUAAAACUCUACAAAACCUGUAAAUAAAUUGCAGCGCGCGAAGUAAAAUGAAGGCCAUGGAAUUAACCUUGCUCAAGGCCAACCGAGUCUACCAAAACUGUGUGGACAUUUCCAGAAAGCUCCGAGCCAUGACUUACACAGCUGAGGAACAAGUUCGAGCGCAUAAAGAUGAAGCAUCCUAUCUUGUAAGGCUUGCAGCAAGAAGUACACCAAAAGGAUAUCAUUGUCUUUCACUCCGCCUAACAGCAGAGUUCUUUGCUAUGUCCCCAGAUGAGAGACAGUUCCCUAAUCAACAUAGAUUACAUGAUCCUCAUCUCCACCACUAUGCUCUUUUCUCUGACAAUAUUCUGGCUUGUGCAGUAGUCGUCAAUUCUACAGUAUCUUCUGCUCAGGUAAAGAAGCUCAAGUCAGUCAUAACUUAGAACUUCAGCACUGAUUCUUGACUAAUUUUUGACAAUGUUUAACUGCUGAUCAUCAGGAGGAAGAAAAGGUAGUGUUUCAUGUGGUGACUAAUGCUCUAAAUCUCCCGGCAAUAUCAAUGUGGUUCUUGCUAUAUCCUCCCGGGAAGGCUACGAUAUAUGUCGAGAGCAUUGAAAAAUUUGAGGGGCUGACUGCAAACUACGAUUGGAUAUUGAAGAAGCAAAAUUCGAGUGAACCGAGAUACACAUCAGACUUGAACCAUCUUCGUUUCUAUCUACCAGAUGUGUUCCCUAAGUUGAAAAAGAUUGUGCUUUUGGACCAUGAUGUUGUGGUGAGGAGAGACCUAGCAGGACUUUGGGGUUUGGAUUUGAAAGGGAAGGUCAAUGGAGCGGUAGAAACUUGCCAUGAUGAGAAUGAUCCUUCUUUUCGUCGCAUGGAUAUGCUCAUCAACUUCUCAGAUCCUUAUGUUGCAAGGAAAUUUAACCCCGGAGCCUGCACCUGGGCAUUUGGAAUGAAUUUGUUUGAUCUCAAAGAGUGGAGGAGACGAGCUUUAACUUCCCUCUACCACAAAUACUUGCGAAUGGUAUGUUUACGAUUUACAUUGUGUUGGCAUCAUGCAUACUUACGUUUUUUAUGAACUAAGCCGUGCCAAGCCGAACUUAACAAUGCUCAAGCUUUGCUGGUUUAGGUAAACUUAAGUUCAAAAAUUUUAGCUCGUGUCGAGCUUGAGCCUAUUUGAGACUGGCUCGUUAACUACCCUUGAUGACUGAAACUCAAGUUCAAAGUCAAACUUUACUCAUUAAAACCCCUCAUGAGUCUAAUCUGACCUAAAUUUCAAGCCUAUGCACUAAAAACAUCGACGAGUGAAGCUAAAAAAAGAAGAUAUCCAAAAAAUUUCAACUUUCUACAUUUUUUAAAAUAGUUAAAACCUAUAAAUAAUAUAGCACGUGCAUUUUCAUUAUCACAAUCACAAAUUACACAUGAUUUAUUGUAUAUAGUAUUUAAACACUUGUUACAUUAUUGAGUCUACUAACCAACCUUAUACUCGAGCUACUAUUCGAGUUGACUCUCGAGCCAGUUCGUGAGGCUAUCGCGUGGAGCAUACCCUAACGCAAGUUUGGUUCAUUCAAAAUCGAGCCGAGUCACGAACUAGUUUUUUUCGAGCCGAGAUCUGAGCGGCUUGGCUUGUUGAGUCAACAACCCUAGUAUGUGAUGUGAGAUGUUUGUAUGCUAAUGCUGGGAUGGAACUGAAAUGGAUUUGCAGGGGAGUAAAAGAAGACUAUGGAAAUCAGGGAGCUUGCCUCUGGGUUGGGCAACUUUCUACAACAGGACGAUAGGGAUAGAUAGGAGAUGGCAUCGGCUUCUGGCGCUAGGAUACGAGUCAGAAGGUGUCGACGAUGACGAUAAUGUUGAAGAUGAUGGGAUUGAGGAGGCAGCGGUGUUACACUACGAUGGAGUGAUGAAACCAUGGCUGGAUAUCGGGAUAUCAAAGUACAGAAGCUACUGGACUGCAUUCCUUAAUUACGACAACCCCCAUUUUCAGCAGUGCAAUAUCCAUGAAUGAAGAGUGGGUCUUCUAUCAAAUGGCUUCAUGUAAAUAUAACACUACUGGGUUUUCUAUUUCAUCAUACAAAGGGCGUGAGGGAGAGGUAUAGAUUUGGGAUGGAUCCUGGCAUAUAACAGUUUUGUCUAGGAGGUUUAUACUACAUGGUAAGAUAUAGUAUCAGCAGGAAUGGGAUACUGAAGAAAAGAGAGUUUAUACUUUAUAUACAUAGGAGGGGUGAGAUACAGAGAAAGUUUAAAGUUUGAACAUGAAACUUUGAUUGGAACUUGGGAGGAUUGUAUGUACAUAGUUGAUGGAGCAUCUUAUGUCAAACUACAUAAACUUCAAUUUUUACAUACGAAUUAUUGUUCAGUAUCAAGAGGAAAAAGGGGUCGAGAUUCUCCUUACCUCUCUUGUUUCCACCCGCAAUAUCCUCUUAACCUUUUCUUUAUCCAUUUCUCGAGUCUUCGUAAAGAGUCAUUCUGCUAGAUCUUCUUCAGAGACAUCGGUCCAUCAUUGGAGUUUUGUGGGACAAUGGACGGAAAUUGCUAAAAAAGGAUUUACUGAAAAAGUCUGAAAACC
rnacentral:lncRNA from 1 species